rnacentral:rRNA from 1 species
AACGAACGCUGGCGGCAUGCCUAACACAUGCAAGUCGAACGAUCCCUUCGGGGAUAGUGGCGCACGGGUGCGUAACGCGUGGGAACCUGCCCUUAGGUUCGGAAUAACUCAGAGAAAUUUGAGCUAAUACCGGAUAAUGUCUUCGGACCAAAGAUUUAUCGCCUUUGGAUGGGCCCGCGUUGGAUUAGCUAGUUGGUGGGGUAAAGGCCUACCAAGGCGACGAUCCAUAGCUGGUCUGAGAGGAUGAUCAGCCACACUGGGACUGAGACACGGCCCAGACUCCUGCGGGAGGCAGCAGUGGGGAAUAUUGGACAAUGGGCGAAAGCCUGAUCCAGCAAUGCCGCGUGAGUGAUGAAGGCCUUAGGGUUGUAAAGCUCUUUUACCCGGGAUGAUAAUGACAGUACCGGGAGAAUAAGCCCCGGCUAACUCCGUG